GCUACUUGGUCAUUUUUAUGCUGGUGAAAUGGGCUGUGUGCUGGCUGGGCUGAGUAUGCCGCCAGCUGGGUGAAUUUCAUGAACAAUCGCCGUGUUGGUCACCGGUCUCCCUAAAAUCAACUAAUAACUGAAUGGACGUUUUACUCGGAGGAACUUGGAAUAGGACUGCAAGAGAGAAACCGGGGAAUUACCAGCUGAACAAAACAGGAUGUAGCUAACUAACCGCAGACCAACAUGUCAAGUGGAACAAAAGAGACUUCUUUUUGUUAUACGCCUCCGUGCACGAGUCUCAACGGACUGAACUAUCGCUAGCUAACCAGCAGCUAAACCAGCUAACGUUAGCUGAGUUAGCUAGCUACAUUACAGUUUCAAGCAUCCUUGCUUGCCUCUGUUGACUGGAUCAUAUUGACAUUUGCUCGCAAUGGCAGCAGUGGUUAGCUACUCUCCACCAUGGUGGGUGAACCUCAUACACAGACUUCCCCAUUUCAACUUCAUGUUCGAGCAAACAAGCAGUGAUUUCCGACCAGAGGACUGGACAUAUCAACAGUCGAUCCUGUUACUGGGUGGUGUGGCGCUCGCCUGUCUGGCACUGGACCUCCUGUUCCUGCUUAUCUAUUCCAUUUGUCUGUGCUGCCGGCGGAAAAAGAACGAGGAUCAGCCCGGCGCUGACUGCUGCUGCACAGCCUGGUGUGUCAUCAUUGCAACACUUGUCUGCAGCGCUGGCAUUGCUGUCGGUUUCUAUGGGAACGGCGAGACUUGUGAUGGAUUGAACCGGCUGACGUAUUCCCUGCGCCAUGCCAACCGCACAAUCACUGGGGUGGAGAAGCUGGUAGAUGACAGUACAUCCUCAUUGAACCAGACGGUAGACAACAGUCUGCAACAGCUUGAGGGCCAGUAUGCACAGCACGCAGACUACCUGUCCAUCAUCCAAAAACUGCAGGGCCAGCUGGAUGAGCUGGUCAGACAGAUGGUGGAGAUCCCCUUCUGGGACAACAACGACAUCUCCCUGGAGGAUCUGGCCGUCAAGGUUGAGCUGUUUGACUGGUACAGGUGGCUGGGCUACAUAGGCCUGCUACUGUUCGACGUCCUCAUCUGCCUUCUGGUGCUGUUUGGCCUCAUUCGCAACUCCAAGGGAACGCUUAUAGGGGUGUGCUUGUUUGGUGUAGUGGCUCUCAUAAUCAGCUGGGUCUCUCUUGGGCUGGAAUUGGCAGUCUCUGCGACCGCCAGUGAUUUCUGUGCUGCCCCUGACACGUAUGUCACCAAAGUAGCAGACCAGUAUGGCGUCAUCCAUCAAGAUAUCCUGAAGCACUACCUUAGUUGCAGUUUAGAACAAACAAACCCCUUCCAACAGAAGCUCUCCGGGAGUCACAAAGCAUUAGUGGAGAUGCAGGAUGACGUGUCUGAACUGCUGCGCUCUGCCACCAGAGAGUAUAAACAAACUCAGGGAAGUUUAGAAGAGAUCCAGGAGAUACUGAACACCACAGAGAUCAGUUUACAUCAGCUCACUGCCUUGGUGGACUGUCGCAGCCUGCACAUGGACUUUGUCCAGGCAAUGACGGGGCUGUGUUAUGAUGGACUGGAAGGCCUCAUCUACCUCGUGCUCUUCUCCUUCAUCACUGCUCUCAUGUUCAGCUCGAUUGUUUGCAGUGUGCCUCACACCUGGCAAAGCAAGGGGAACGAGGAAGAAAGUGAGGAUGAGUCUCUUAGCCACGGGGGAAGGCAAAACCAUGAUAACUUGUACCGGGUCCACAUGCCCAGCCUGUACAGCUGUGGCAGUAGCUUCGGCAGCGAGACCUCCAUCCCCGCCACAGCCCACACCGUCAGCAACGCGCCUGUCACCGAGUACAUGGCUCAGAACGCCAACUUUCAGAAUUCUCGCUGUGAAAACACUCCUCUGAUAGGAAGAGAGUCUCCUCCGCCAUCGUUGUAUUUGACUGCCGCGGACAGUAACAGCGGUCACAGCUGGCAGUUAAAGCCUUCGGAGAGUUCAAGAUCGUUUUGGUAACCUCAUCUGCGAUGCUAACAGAUUCCAGGGCUCUGGAGUUACUAGUUUGAAAGUACACCUCAAGCAUGCGCGUGAAGUACCUGGCCAACAGCCCACCAGAUCCCAACAACACCCCUCCAGCACACUAAACAACCCUGGACGCAUCCUGUCUGCAGCACUGACGUCUCUCAUCCAGUCAGUUAUUUCUCGUACCUUUCAGUCACUCCUCCUGCUUUCUUCCAUCAUCUAACUUGAUCAAAAUGGGAAAACCAAUGCCUUUUUCCCUGGUUGGUUAAAGCAAAACCUAAGGAACGCUACACAUCAUAUAACCUUUUCUCCCCCAUCCUUGGCUAAUGUUUAUUAUCAUUGGUCCUGGGAUUUCAUCUGAUGUGAUGGAGCCUGGACUGACUUUUACACUCCAACUUAUUUCUUGAAACACAAAUGCACCAUGACAAGCACAGUGUCACAUCUAACAAAACAUUGCAGUGUUGAGGACUCUGGAAGUGCUCGUAGACCAACACUGAUUACGACUGGUUGUUGAUUUUGUUUUGUGAAGUACUGUACUGCCCUCUCUCGUUGCUGUGGGAGAGAGUAGAAGAAAUGCCUUACACAUAGAGGAAGUACCAACUGUUUUCUUCCCACCUGAAGUGUAGACAUUAUUUCUCACAUAACGUAGAUCAAACGGUAGUCAAAUAGAUUAAUCUUAGAGUGCAACAUCUCCUCAUUCUGCUUGUGGAAUUUAAAAUGCAAGUCUGCUGUUUGAGUCAACAAGAUUAUCAUUAUUCUCCAGUUGAAGUCGUCCUACUGUAUAUUACACAUGCACAUUGGCUUGUUUUAGCAUUCCGUGUUAAAUCCAAUGUAUGGGACCAGUUUUUUCGCAGUGUUGCAUGAAUCACAGCUCUGAAAUUUUAAUUUUUUUAUUCUUGGGUCACUUCCUGUGGCAUUCUACAUUGAUGAGCCCCUAUUCUGCAGCAAUGACUGCAACUUGUGAAACUGUGAACUUGAUUCUGGCACAUGCUCUCAGAGGACAAAGAUGAGCUGUGUGAUGGAAAUGCAGCUGUUUGACGAGUCUCAGCAGGACGACGAUGACGGGGGAAAAAACCAUGAAACCGCAGCGAGUUUGACAAAGACGAGGCGUUUUAUACUGCUUGAAGCAGAAACUUUUUUCUUUACAGCCCAUUGAAGACGAUGGUGAAGCAGCGGCAUGAUGUCUUUGGCCACAUUGUACGAUAAUCUGCCUCUUCACCAGACUGCUUGUUAUUCUCCUCACGUUCUUGUUAAGUUGUAAAGCCUCAUCUCCCUGCAUCAGAACUGGGAAUAGUCCACACACUCAUUAACUCUGUCCGCCAAUGGUCCUCUUCACCAGAUGCAGCAGUUUAGAGUCAGACAUUUCUCUUAAUGCAGUUUUAUGUGACAUAAUGCAUAUCGCAGUAUCUUGGAGAAUUUCAAUAAGCAACUGUCCGCAUUGGCAAUGCAGUGUCUGACAAAUGUGUUUUAGCAUUUAUAACAAAGCAGAUAAGAGUGAGUGGAUGCUGUGAAGGGAUUGUGAUAACUCUGCUCUCUAUAAUCUGGAAAUUGUCAAAAGAAAACCUGCUGACUUCCUGUUGAAGCGAGAUGUUUAUACCUCUGCUCCUUCAACCUGCGUCUCUUAGAUGUGCAUUGUGACCAGAAAAAAAAGGUUGUUUUUGUUUGUGCCAACAAGUGAAGCCAAACACUUUUACCAUAUGAAUAUCUUUUUAAAUGUCCUAUACUUGAGGCCACUUUGUAAAGUUUAAAGCUCCUGGUUGCCUGUGCAAUCAAAUGAGAAAAUGAGCCUGUAAUCAUUUAUGCUCUGGAAAACAUUAUUACACUGAUGCGAAUCUUUCUGUUUUGGGGUUAUAGUCAUAUUGUCUUUGUUUUGUUUUUUGUAAUGUAAGGUGGUUGUACAGAAUAUACACAUUAACAGAAUGAAAAAAGAAAAAUCUGGCUGAAAAUUAAAUGUCAGUUUUAAUUUCUUAAAAAGCUUACUCCAUUCAAUUUGCUUUUUUCAUUUCAUUUUAGAACCCCUAGAACCCACAACGUGUUGCUUUAUUAAUGUAAAUACGUUAGAUU